GUAGCUCAGAUGGUUAGAGCGCACGCCUGAUAAGCGUGAGGUCGGUGGUUCGAUUCCACUCGUGCCCA
rnacentral:tRNA from 3 species